rnacentral:rRNA from 1 species
UACAGAGGUCUCAAGCGUUGUUCGGAUUCAUUGGGCGUAAAGGGUGCGUAGGCGGCGCGGUAAGUCGGGUGUGAAAUCUUGGAGCUUAACUCCGAAACUGCAUUCGAUACUGCCGUGCUUGAGGACUGGAGAGGAGACUGGAAUUUACGGUGUAGCGGUGAAAUGCGCAGAUAUCAGGAGGAACACCAAUGGCGAAGGCAGUCAUCUGGGCCAGUAUUGACGCUGAGGAGCGAAAGCGUGGGGAGCGAACAGG